GUUUGGUGGUCUCUUUACACAGACGCGUGUGACAUUUGGUGCCGAAGACCCGGGACAGGAGGACUCCUUUGGGAGACCAGUCCCCUGUCCUCGCCCUCACUCCGUGAGGAGAUCCACCUAUGACCUCGGGUCUUCAGACCAACCAGCCCAAGGAACAUCUCACCAAUUUCAAAUCGGGUGUGGGGGCUGAGGUUCAGAGGCCAAGAAGCUUACACGCUCACGGAGCCAGGGAGUAGCAGAGCUGGGAUCUGAAUCCAGGAGCGUCUAAUCCCAACACUCAAGACUUUUCCGUGAACCCAUCCUGCUUCCCUUCCAAGUCUGCAAGGGAGGUCUGGAUACAGGAGUUCCACAUGGCAUUGAUGGUAGCUUCUGCAUUUACUUAAUUUAUGUAACUUUCACUGAGCUAGUAUAAUACUGAGUACUAGGGACUGUUUCUUGAGCUUUACAAAUACAACCUCAUUUAAGCUUCGUUAA